rnacentral:rRNA from 1 species
AGCAGCCGCGGUAAUUCCAGCUCCAAUAGCGUAUAUUAAAGUUGUUGCAGUUAAAAAGCUCGUAGUUGAAUUUCGGGAUUAGUACGCUGGUCGUGCCUUCGGUAUGUACUGGUGCUACUGGUUCCUACCUUCUGACGAACCGUCAUGUCAUUAAUUUGGUGUGGCGGGGAAUCAGGACUGUUACUUUGAAAAAAAUAGAGUGUUUAAAGCAGGCUCGCGCUUGAAUACAUUAGCAUGGAAUAAUGAAAUAGGACGUUCGAUCCUAUUUUGUUGGUUUCUAGGAUUGACGUAAUGAUUAAUAGGGAUAGUUGGGGGCAUUAGUAUUCAAUUGUCAGAGGUGAAAUUCUUGGAUUUAU